rnacentral:lncRNA from 1 species
AAUAGUUGAAAAGUCAAAAUUAGACAAAAUAGUUUUAUUAUUAACAAAUAAAAAAAAAAGAAAAAGAAAAAGCUAUCAUUUUUCUCUUCCCCUUCACCGAAAUAUGCAGCAAAGAAAGGGUUUUGAAGCUGGAAAAUUUCAGCAACAUAUUUCCCUUGCUUGUAAGUGAUUUUAAUGUCUUUUCUUGAUGAUUUUUGUAGUUUUGGAACCCCUAAAGCAUAAGCUUUCAUAAGAGGGGAUUAUUUUGCAAAAUGAUGAAGAGUCUAGGGUUUUACCGUGAGAGUAAAUGUGUUGUUUGCUGUGUUUUUAUGGAAGAUUAUGAGUCCUAGUUGUCUAAUAAACAACUUUUGUGAAAGAAAUUGCAUGAAAAUCCUUAAAAAGGGCUAAAUUGCUAAGUUGUAAAAUGAGUUGUAAAUGUGUAAAAUAGUUGAAAUUAUGAGUUGCUAUAGUUAUGAAAAUGGUUCAUCUAGACUCAAGGAGAAAAAAAAUGUGAUAAAAAUUAAUUUACGAGCAUUGGGGCAAAAGUGAAAAUAUGUAAAAGUUUAGGGGUCAAAUUUUUUUUAUAAAAACAUGAUUUUUAGACCCAUAUGAAUAUUGUGACUGAUUGGUAGGCUAAAUGUGAUGUUAUAGAUGAUGAAAAUUGAGACUUGGACCUAGAACGGAAAGAAAUCGAUUUAUGGACGAGUAUGUCCUUUUCACCUUUGUGGUAUCGAGGUAAAUUCGUAUGUAAACAAUACCAUGCUAUACAUGUAUUUAAAUGUUAUCAGUACAUGAAUUGUACAGAUAUUAAUGUGUAUGUGAUUAAUAGAAAUAUGAUAAGACAAAGCCUUAAUAGACGAGGAAAAAUCCCGUUUGAACCUUAGGAAUAGAAUAGGAUACGAGUGACAUGUCACUAGGAAUUAUGAGUCUAGAUGACUAGCUCGAGAGUGAGCAUUGAAAUGUCAUGAGAUAUGAGGUAGCUUUAGCUACAAUUGAGGCACUUAUGUGCAAAGGCUUUUCCGAGUAUCCAAUUAGUAUUCCAAGUGUUCAACGGGCAAUCCAAGGAAAGAGUUGAUGAUGGUCCCAAUGAGGUAAGUCAUUGGUGAGUAUGCACUCGAGUUAUGUUACGAGUUGUGCAAGUAUGUAUACUAAUCCUAUGAGAAUGCCUUGAUAUGUGAUGAUCUAUGAUGCAUAAUAUGUGUUCUUACCAUGAUGGAUAAAAUGGUGUUGUAUUAAUAUUAUGAACAAUGACCAUGAAUGAGUAACUUAGCCUUGACAGAUUUGAGUUACUGCAAUAGUGUAACUUUGAAAGUACACUAAAAAUAGUGGAAAAUGAGUUAGAGGCAGAAUAAAAUAUGGGAUUAAAGCUUAAUGAGUCUAUUUUCACAUGAAAAAAAUAGAGG